UACAGAGGUGGCAAGCGUUGUUCGGAAUUACUGGGCGUAAAGGGCGCGUAGGCGGUUCGUUAAGUCCUGUGUGAAAUCCCCCCGGCUCAACUGGGGAACUGCACAGGAAACUAGCGGGCUUGAGUUCGGGAGAGGGAAGCGGAAUUCCGGGUGUAGCGGUGAAAUGGCGUAGAUAUCCGGAGGAACACCGGUGGCGAAGGCGGCUUCCUGGACCGACACUGACGCUGAGGCGCGAAAGCUAGGGGAGCAAACGGG
rnacentral:rRNA from 1 species